rnacentral:rRNA from 1 species
UACGUAGGGAGCAAGCGUUGUCCGGAAUCAUUGGGCGUAAAGCGCGCGUAGGCGGCCCUGUAAGUCCGUUGUGAAAGUCAAAGGCUCAACCUUUGAAAGCCGAUGGAUACUGCAGGGCUGGAGUCCGGAAGAGGCGAGUGGAAUUCCUGGUGUAGCGGUGGAAUGCGCAGAUAUCAGGAGGAACACCAAUGGCGAAGGCAGCACUCUGGGACGGUACUGACGCUGAGACGCGAAAGCGUGGGGAGCAAACAGG